UAAGCACUCUCUUCAUCUUGUCUCUCUUAAUAGGCAUGUCCAACUUUCUAAAGGCAUGUCAGACACAUGUUCCAUGUCGUUUCCCGUGUCGUGUCGACACGAGUAUGGCAUGGCUAAGGGACAAGUCCGAGUAUCGUAGCAUUUAUUAAGUUUAGAAAAGAUUGUAUGUGAUGCAUUAUGAAUGUCACAUAUUACAUACUACAGAUGCCCAGAAAAUACGCGAGGAAACAAAUAGCUUUUCAUUUUAAACUAAUCCCAACAGACAACUUUGUGUCUAACAAAUUUAAAUCAUAUUUCCCAACAUACCAAGGAAACAUGACCAAAAUAUGCUGAAGCAAAUCUCUAUCGGUGAAUAUAAUACCUAAUUCACACCUGAAUAUGUCUAUAA
rnacentral:misc_RNA from 1 species